rnacentral:tRNA from 1 species
GCCCGAGUAGCUCAGCCGGCAGAGCAACGCACUCGUAAUGCGUAGGUCAGGAGUUCGAUUCUCCUCUCGGGCU